rnacentral:rRNA from 1 species
AUGGAGGAAUCGACGUCUCGGCUUCACGACGACAAGUUACAGCGUCUCCACUGCCACCGCUUCUGCCCUGAGGUUAUUUGGCGGUGGGCAGCAGCGUGUGAAAUCUACUGCAGAGGAUUUGGGCAUUUUCCUACCGGUGGAAGACCUGCAUCCAGCCCCACAAGUCCUUUACUAGCCCUCCUUGCUGCAGUUCCAUCCUCUACCGUCAGGCCAGGCUGUCCAGCAAUCAGCAAGUUAAAAAGAUUUAAAUCAAGGUUUCCUGAUAAUUCUUUUGAAUCUUCCUGUAAGGCAGGCUUUUCAGAUAUCCCCCUGUUAGAGCUAGUUUUUCACUACCCAUUUGAUAACAGAAGAAAAUUAAACCCCAUGUCUCUGUAUGAAAAGCAACUACUGACCUUGUUCAUGGAUACAGGAACCGGGAAGAGCAAGAUGAUUUUGCAAGUUUUGGUUCGUUAG